UACGUAGGGUGCGAGCGUUGUCCGGAAUUAUUGGGCGUAAAGAGCUCGUAGGCGGUGUGUCACGUCGGCCGUGAAAACCUGCAGCUUAACUGUGGGCGUGCGGUCGAUACGGGCAUCACUGGAGUUCGGCAGGGGAGACUGGAAUUCCUGGUGUAGCGGUGAAAUGCGCAGAUAUCAGGAGGAACACCGGUGGCGAAGGCGGGUCUCUGGGCCGAUACUGACGCUCAUGUGCGAAAGCGUGGGGAGCAAACAGG
rnacentral:rRNA from 1 species